rnacentral:lncRNA from 1 species
UUCACCAUCUUGCUGUUGUUGCGCCGCCGGGGAGGGGAGCUGAGGUUCACCAUCUUCCUGACAACCGCCGCCGCCUCCGUCCCCACAGACGAGGCGAACAUGGCCCCGCCAUCUUGGAUGGCCUGCACAAACCAGCACAAACGCAAUGAGAUUCGAGCAAGCUAAAGAAAUCUAGAAGGAGGAGGAGGAGAAGGGGGGGAAAUACCAGAUCUCACCUGCACGCGCCGCCUGCGAGGUGGCCAUAGCGUCGAUCUAGGGUUUCGGCAUGGAGAGAAGGAGAGGGUGGAGUCGAAGGAGGAGGUCGCCGGCGGGUAUGAAGUAGAGGAUGUCGC